AGUUUGAUCCCUGGCUCAGAUUGAACGCUGGCGGCAGGCCUAACACAUGCAAGUCGAGCGGCAGCGGAAGGAAGCUUGCUUCCUUGCCGGCGAGCGGCGGACGGGUGAGUAAUGUCUGGGGAUCUGCCUGAUGGAGGGGGAUAACUACUGGAAACGGUAGCUAAUACCGCAUAACGUCGCAAGACCAAAGUGGGGGACCUUCGGGCCUCACACCAUCGGAUGAACCCAGAUGGGAUUAGCUAGUAGGCGGGGUAAAGGCCCACCUAGGCGACGAUCUCUAGCUGGUCUGAGAGGAUGACCAGCCACACUGGAACUGAGACACGGUCCAGACUCCUACGGGAGGCAGCAGUGGGGAAUAUUGCACAAUGGGGGAAACCCUGAUGCAGCCAUGCCGCGUGUAUGAAGAAGGCCUUCGGGUUGUAAAGUACUUUCAGCGGGGAGGAAGGCAGUGAACUUAAUACGUUCGCUGAUUGACGUUACCCGCAGAAGAAGCACCGGCUAACUCCGUGCCAGCAGCCGCGGUAAUACGGAGGGUGCAAGCGUUAAUCGGAAUGACUGGGCGUAAAGCGCACGCAGGCGGUUUGUUAAGUCAGAUGUGAAAUCCCCGAGCUUAACUUGGGAACUGCAUUUG
rnacentral:rRNA from 1 species